AUCAUGACCUGAGCUGAAAUCCAGAGCCGGACACUCAACCCAGCCACCCAGGAAUCACCCCCCCCACUAAGGAUCUUGAAUUUUUUGCAAUGAGCAUAUAUUUUUUAGAAGAACAAAAGGAAAAAAUUGACCCCUUCACCUCAAAACUAUCAUUUCCUUCAUCAGAAGGUAAGUUAUUCUGCUAGAGCUAUCACCUCCUGGAGUUUUCACAUUCCCUAUCUUGAUCUGGGAAUGGAUAGCAUUUGUUUCUUUUAGCCUAUCUUACCAGUCAUCCUCACCUACUAAUUUUAUGCAGUCGUGAAAGAAAAAUCAAGGACAUUUAAAGCAAGCCGGGAAAAGAAAGCGUUUUGAGAACUCUCUCUCUAGACCAGGCAUGAACUGCAACGAGUCAAUCUGCUAAGAACAGAAUUCUAGUUUUUAAAUGGACACGAGGAACACACACAUCUGGCUCCCUCUACUGACCCUGCCACCACUAUCAGCCAGCGACACUUCCAAAGUCAAGUUAAAUCGGGCCAUCUCUCUGCCUAAAACCUCCAGUGAUUCUCCACCUUUCUUCUCCUAGGGAGGGACUUCCAAGCAGUCCGCGCAGAGCGCAACAAGAGGCUCAAGAUCACGACCUGAAAUUAGACGAGUAACCGACGGAGGCACCCCAUACAAAAUAGUAAGAAAGUGGAUACAACAGUGACUAGGAGGUCUUGCAGUGGUUUGCAGCAGACAGGGGACCCCUCUGAGGAAGCAGCCAAUCAACGGAGAAGUGGCAAGGCAGGGAGAGCAGACCUCAGCCCCAGAACAGAAAGGAGAUUCAGAAUACAACAGCACAGAGACAACUACGGGGAGAGGGAAGGUGAGCGAGACCAAAAAAUCAACAUUAUACUUCUGUUUCUGGCUUUCACAAGAUGCAAAUCCCUGGAGAAUGUUUUGUUUCCUGGUUUGGGAGGUUUUUGGAGGGGGCAGGGAAGGGGAGAUUCACUGUGUUCCUGUGGAUUCACCUAUCAGACAUCCAAGUGAAGAGGCCAAGGACACAUUUAGGCAUGGGUCUGGCAUGCACUGGAAACACAGGAGUCCUUUGGGGACAUGAAUUUGGAAAUCAGUGCCAUCCAGAUGUACUUGAUGAGAGAAUGCAGAUAGAGACAGGAGCAAGGACCAAAUCUGAGGCAGGCACUGUGGGGGCUAACAAAGGAGAAGGUCGUAGGUCUGGGGGAAACAAAGGUGUGGUAUUGUUCAAGAGAACAAAGGCUGGCCCACAUCAAAGGAGAGCAGGAUGAGUGAGGCAACACACAGGUUAGCAACAUGGAAGUCAGUGGCCCUAAAACAAGAUCAUGCUUCUCCUCAUGAAUAAUAAGUGCAUCAAUAUCAAGUCAUGUUGUAGAGCUUAAGCUUAUAUACAUAUCUCAAUAAAACUGAAAAAUACAUGAAGAAAACCUAGGGAAGAGUAAGAGAAGAAAAACGUUGGUUGGGAUGGGUCACAUCCAUAAGCCUAACAAAACAUCUUCUAUCAUUCAGAUGCCAUUUUAAAGAAGACUGAAGAGUUAAAUAAAAACUGUCCCUGGAAACAAGCAAGAAAUGGAUAAAAUUAUUUUCCUCCCCUCAGACUGGCUAAGAGUACCAGGGUAAGGGGACAGCCUCUCUUCAAAUGACGUAAAUACAGAGUAAAAAUGGUUUAUACAUAAAUCAUGGGGACAGGGAAUACAGUCAGUAAUGUAUUAACUUUGGUGACAGAUGGUAAUGAGAUUUGUAUGGUGAUCAUUUCACAAUGUAUAUAUAAAUGUCAAAUCACUAUGUUGUACACCUGAAACUGACACUGUAUUUCAGUUAUACGUCAAUAAAAAAAAGUUGUGUAAGUAUAAA